GCGAGCAGCGCAGCAGCUCCAUGUCCAUCCCCGUUGUUUUUAUUUUUAUUUUUUUCCACUAACCGCUGGGACCCACAAUCAUCUUCUAUCUCCGAACAGAAUCCAACUCGCGUACGAGUUUGUUACAGAAGCGUGAAGUGCCAACUUCCUCGCCCGAUUUCUCUCGGAUCUUUGCUCCCUUUUACACGAAAAUCCCUCUAUAAAUACCCCCAUAUCUCCUCUGUAUAUUGAUCCUAAAAUCCCCAAUUUUUGCGCCGCCAGGCUGCUCGAAUUUCUCGCCGGAGUUCGACGCCGCCGCCGCCAUUGGAGCUCAUAACCGGAGGGCACUAGGACGCGGAGAAAGCAUCGCCGGAGUUCGUCGCUGCCCGAGCCGCUCCAGCUGCCCGUCACCGCUGUUCGAGGAAGACCCAAACACCUCCGAGCACGCCACCUUGACAUCCACGCCUAGCCGCGUCUCAUUCUUCAACUCGCCGCCCCAGAAGACUGUCGGAACGCCGUUGCCGUACGAACUCUCGCCGCUGCUAUAGUCUACUUUGUCGCCGACGUGAUCGUGCGGAGUGUAACACGAAGAGCGCGAACGCCAACGACAAAUAAGGCAAGUUAAACUUUUGAUCAUAACAGAUCUAUUGUUUUCCUAUAUGUGCAAUAGGAUUUUAGUACAAGUACAUGUGUAGGAUUGUUAUUGAUGGAUUGUGUGCUAUUGCUAUGAAACCCGCGCAGGAUAGCCAUAUGUUUAUUAUGAUUGGAUUCAUUGCUCGUCAACCUAUGUUUGAUUGCUUGGAUACGCUUACUUUAUAAGUGGGUGGAAUAUCAUGUCAUGGGUAUGUAUUAGUUGAAAGGUUAGUUUUGAGUUGACAAAACAAUUAUUGGAUGAAUUGGGGCGGAUAUGAAUAGUACUUGAGAAGGUUGUAGGUCGACCGACAUGGUAAGGGCUUUGAGCCGGACUUACUGACAUGUAUAGGUCGAGUGGCAUGGUAAGGGCAGAAAGCCUGACUUACUGACAUGUACACUAGUUGAUGGGAGGGUGGCAUGGUAAGGGCGUUGAGCCUGACUUACUGACAUGUUCACUAGUUGAUGGGAGGGUGGCAUGGUAAGGGCGUUGAGCCUGACUUACUGACAUGUUCACUGGUGAUGAGUGGCAUGGUAAGGGCAGAAAGCCUGACUUACUGACAUGUACACUAGUUGAUGGGAGGGUGGCAUGGUAAGGGCGUUGAGCCUGACUUACUGACAUGUUCACUGGUGGUGAGUGGCAUGGUAAGGGUGUUGAGCCAGACUUACUGACAUGUACACUGGUGAUGAGUGACAUGGUAAGGGUGUAGAGCCUGACUUACUGACAUGUACACUAAUGGAGUGGAGAUUAGCAUGGUAAGGGUAUUGAACCUGACUUACUAGCAUGUGUAAUGGAAGAAAGGAGAUUAACAUGGUAGGGGGGCUGAGCUUGACCUACUCACAUGUGCACUAGAGGAGCUCGGAGAUUAAAGUUGCUGGGAUAAAACUAGGACGAUACUAUGAUUGCUUUGUGCAAAGUAAAAUAAAAGUUUGAACCCUCAACUCGAAAAUGUACUUGAUAGAUUGUUAUAAGUCUCUAGUGAUACUCGCCAAUACAUUCAAUGUAUUGACCCUGCGUGGCUGCAACGUUUCAUGUUGCAGGUAACAUUGAGGACAAAGUGAUAUUCCAUAUUUAGGUCGCGAGCUUCCACUCAGCAUGUUCGCCUGUGGCGUGAUGGAGCUCUUUGCUUUUAUUUGUUUUCCGCUUUGAACUCUUUUAUUUGAGCUAGCCAUGAGCUAUGCAAGUUGUAAUAAAUAUAUUCUGGAUCAUACACGUUGUAAUAAUGACGCAUUUGCUAUUCUGUUUAUUCA